rnacentral:rRNA from 1 species
UACGUAGGUGACCAGCGUUGUCCGGAUUUACUGGGCGUAAAGAGCGCGCAGGCGGUCGUUCAAGUCGAGUGUGAAAGCCCCCGGCUCAACUGGGGAGGGUCACUCGAUACUGAUCGACUUGAAGGCAGGAGAGGGAAGCGGAAUUCCCGGUGUAGUGGUGAAAUGCGUAGAUAUCGGGAGGAACACCAGUGGCGAAGGCGGCUUCCUGGCCUGUUCUUGACGCUGAGGCGCGGAAGCUAGGGGAGCAAACGGG